rnacentral:tRNA from 1 species
UCCCUAGUACCUUAGAUGGUAAAGAAUCUGCCUGCAGUGCAGGAAACCCAGGUUCAGUCCCUGAUUCGGGAA